UAUUAAAAUAUAUAAAAUAACAAAAUCUUAAAAUCUUAAAAUAACAUUACAUCGAUGCUAUAUCGAAUUGAACAAAUCUUAUCUCUAUGUUAAGAUGACAGUGGGUAGAUAAUCUUCGAGAGGGGCCAUGGGCUAUUCAUUUAAGGUGCGUUUGACACAUUGUAUUGUAUUAUACUGUACAAUGUUUGGGGCUACACUGUACUGUAUUAAUUUUUUUGUGAUU
rnacentral:lncRNA from 1 species